GGUUUUGUAGUGUAGCGGUUAUCACUCCAGAUUUUGAGUAUCAACUUCUGGUAACCCCGGUUCGAACCCGGGCAAGACCU